AUUGAACGCUGGCGGAAUGCUUUACACAUGCAAGUCGAACGGCAGCACGGGGGCAACCUUGGUGGCGAGUGGCGAACGGGUGAGUAACACAUCGGAACAUGCCCAGUCGUGGGGGAUAACGUAGCGAAAGUUACGCUAAUACCGCAUACGAUCUAAGGAUGAAAGCGGGGGACCGUAAGGCCUCGCGCGAUUGGAGUGGCCGAUGCCAGAUUAGGUAGUUGGUGGGGUAAAGGCUCACCAAGCCAACGAUCUGUAGCUGGUCUGAGAGGACGACCAGCCACACUGGGACUGAGACACGGCCCAGACUCCUACGGGAGGCAGCAGUGGGGAAUUUUGGACAAUGGGCGCAAGCCUGAUCCAGCCAUUCCGCGUGCAGGACGAAGGCCUUCGGGUUGUAAAGCUCUUUUGUCAGGGAAGAAACACCGGCUCUAACACAGUCCGGGAAUGACGGUACCUGAAGAAUAAGCACCGGCUAACUACGUGCCAGCCGCCGCGGUAA
rnacentral:rRNA from 1 species